rnacentral:rRNA from 1 species
GACGAACGCUGGCGGCGUGCUUAACACAUGCAAGUCGAACGGAAAGGCCCUGCUUUUGUGGGGUGCUCGAGUGGCGAACGGGUGAGUAACACGUGAGUAACCUGCCCUUGACUUUGGGAUAACUUCAGGAAACUGGGGCUAAUACCGGAUAGGAGCUCCUGCUGCAUGGUGGGGGUUGGAAAGUUUCGGCGGUUGGGGAUGGACUCGCGGCUUAUCAGCUUGUUUGUGGGGUAGUGGCUUACCAAGGCUUUGACGGGUAGCCGGCAUGAGAGGGUGAACGGCCACAUGGGGACUGAGAUACGGACCAGACUCCAACGGGAGGCAGCAGUCGGGAAUAUUGCACAAUGGGCGGAAGCGUGAUGCAGAGAUGCCGGGUGCGGGAUGACGGCUUUCGGGUUGUAAACCGAUUUCGCCUGUGACGAAGAGUGAGUGACGGUAAUGGGUAAAGAAGCACCGGCUAACUACGUG